rnacentral:lncRNA from 1 species
ACGAAGCAUAGAGUCUAGACAAUGGGAGGGACUUGGGGGCGGGAAGUGACGCCCCCUGCUCAACCCGGGUGACCGGGAGGAACCUGGGUCAAGGGAGUGAGGGGUUAAUAGAAACGAGACCCAAUCGUCAAGCCAGGGAGUGGGCGUUUUAAUACAUUAAGGGUGGUGGGGAAGCGACCAGGUGGGCUUGUCUGGGAGAACCUGGAGCAGUGGGAAGGUCUACAGAACUGGAAGCCGGCACCCUCACCUGGGGUACCCCUGUACCCCACCCUGUACUCCUCCCUGUACUCCUCCCUGAGUCCGGGCCAUAUGGUCCUUGAGAGUGAGGCUGUCAGUCUUUGUUGUUUCUGAGGGGGUAUAGUGGAGUGGAGGGGGAGUCUCUCUUUGAGCCCAGGUUGGCCUCAAACUCUCAAAUCUUCCAAGUAUGGUGUUAAAGGCCUGCCCCACCAUGCCUGCCUGUCUCAUGUUAUGGAUUCCCUAAACAUAUCGAGUUGCAUCUUGAUUUAGGGGAGAGAGACGGAUUAUCUAAAGUCCAGGAUGAGGGAUGAUGUCACCGGGAAGGUCGUGUGAGCCCCAACCUGAGCAAGGCAAAGGAGAGUGGGUGCCUGCUGGAACAGCACUCUGGGAAGAGGGCUCAGCAUGUGCAAAGCACGUAGGAUAUUCGACCCACCAGAGGAGCUGGAAUGCAAGGUGUGGGAGCUGGCGCGGCUG